GUAUGAAUGCAUCCCUUCUUUCUGAUAUCCCAUAUCUUCAGAUUUGUGUCUGUUGAACCAGAUGCAAAGAACUCACCAAAUGGAUGAAAUUCAACAGCAGUGCAGUUUGAUCUGUGUCCAGGAAGAGUGCGAACCAUUUUUGCUUCUUCCAAAUCCCAAAGCUUUAUCACUCCAUUGGAAGCUCCAGCAAGAACCAAAACUUCUG
rnacentral:misc_RNA from 1 species